rnacentral:rRNA from 1 species
AACGAACGCUGGCGGCGUGCCCAACACAUGCAAGUCGAACGUGAUUAGAGGGCUUGCUCUCUAUGAAAGUGGCGCACGGGUGAGUAACGCGUAGAUAAUCUGCCUGAUGAUCUGGAAUAACACUUCGAAAGGGGUGCUAAUACCGGAUAAGCCCACAGUGUCCUUGGACACAGCGGGAAAGGGGGGGGACCUUCGGGCCUUCCGUCAUCAAAUGAGUCUGCGUACCAUUAGCUAGUUGGUAGGGUAAAGGCCUACCAAGGCGACGAUGGUUAGCUGGUCUGAGAGGAUGAUUAGCAACACUGGAACUGAGACACGGUCCAGACUCCUACGGGAGGCAGCAGUGGGGAAUUUUGCGCAAUGGGGGAAACCCUGACGCAGCAACGCCGCGUGAGUGAGGAAGGCUCUUGGGUCGUAAAGCUCUGACAGAGGGAAAGAAAUGUAUUGCGGUUAAUACCCGUGAUACUUGACGGUACCCUCAAAGGAAGCACCGGCUAACUCCGUGCCAGCCGCCGCAGUAACAC